AAGUUACUUGCUUCCCAAGCAAAGCCACUAAAGAGAAUUGAUACAAGAAAGCAACUUAAGAAAAGUUUAUUCUAAUCAAAUCUGUAAACUUUGCAUUUCCUUGACUGCUUCGUUUGCUCUCUGUUUCGCCCUACUCUUCCUCCAAGCUUUGUACAUCAUCGUCUUCAAACGCUCAGGUUGGCCUCUCACAAAAUCUUCAUUUCCGAAUUCCAUUUCCCCAGACCUCUUCUUAAUU